rnacentral:lncRNA from 1 species
GAAGUCUUCAGUUAAUCCAAGUAAUCAUGCUAUGUGCAUGGGAGAGAGAAAACCUGAAUCUUUUUCUGGCUGCCUUACUGAGUGCUAUAAAUUGUCCUCCAACACAUGUAGGGAGAGCAGAGCCAAAAUUUCCACAGAAGGACUCCAACCAGGAAACUCUGGAUGUGCUUCUUUUUUCAGAGAACGACUCUGGCUUUCAGGCCCCCUUGCCAAUCCCACACCCAUGGAGGACCCUUGACUAAUAGUUGUUUUUAAGGAGUCUUUGUUGAUUUCAAACAGAAACUAAAAUGCAACCCAAGGACUCAGAUGAGAGCAGAACUUCUAGAAAGUGAGUCGAAAGCAAAGGAGCGCAUAUACUCUCUGCUGCAAAGGCUUCUGAGAAGGAGAAGUCAAGAGUUUGAUGUCUUUGUCAUCCCUGCUCGGGCAGCAGGAUACUUUCCCAGAGGCCAUGGAGACAGGACGCCUAGGUGCCCAAGCACUGCAGAGAUGGAUUCCAGUGGGAGAUGCCAAAACUCAUUUUUCUGGCUGCAGUUCUCGGACAAGACUUGACCUCUUCCAGUUGGGACUCCCUGCAGUAAGUGUGUGAGCGCGCGUGUACACACACACACACACACACACACACAUUGAACUUGAUUUCUCGAUGGGUUUCCAGAGAUGGGGAAAGACUGGCACAAAUGCCUGUUGGGGAACUGGAUGUCCGAAGUGCUUGCAGUAGGCUUGACUGAGUCAGGAGGAGGAAUCUGGAAGAAGGUGGAGCUUGGGGCUGUGGGGUUAGGGAGCAGUCCUGGUGGGAGAGUGGAGAGAUCCAGAGGGUACCAGCUCCCUUGGUCAUGGCAGUCACUGAAGUAGCAGCACAGGAUGUGUCGGCCACACUGGCCAGGGUCCCAGCUCAAGCCUAUAGAUGUGUUUGAGGAGAUAGUGAUGUUUUGGUUAUUGAUUGUUAAGUAUGAACCCUCUCAAAACACAGUGGCUUAAAAGAACAACAAUUUCAUUUGCUCCAAUUCAGUCUUGGCUUGCAGGUGGUCCUCGUGUGUGCGUUUAGUGGGUUGGGUAGCUGGGAUCUGGUCUCUGCUGGAUGCUGGGAUUACUGGACUCUCUGACUUCAUGGGCACUCAGGGCUUUUCCUUCUUCAUAUGAUCUCUCCACUCAAUCUCUCCACAUGAUUUCUCGGACAGAGUAGCCAGACCUCAUCCAUGGCAGCUCAAGAUAGUCAUGGACUUGGAGAAUAGACUUGUGGUUGCCAAAGGGGAAGGGGAGGGAGUGGGAGAGACUGGGAGCUUGGGGUAAAUAGAUGCAGAAUGUUGCUUUCGGGGUGGAUUAGCAAUGGGAUCCUGCUGUAUAGCACUGGAAACUCUGUCUAGUCACUAAUGAUGGAACACUUAAUGUGAGAAAAAAUUGUGUAUACAUGUAUGUGUAACUGGAUCACCGUGCUGUGCAGGAGAAAAAAAAAAAAUAUAUAUAUAUAUAUAUAUAUAUAUAUAUAUAAAUGAUAUAAAGGAAAGAAAGAAAGAAAAGAAAAAGCCAAGAAGCAAAAAUAGAAGUUUCCAGGCCUUCUCAAAACUAGUCUGGCUACUGGCACAGCUUCACUCUGGUUAAAGCAGUCACAGGGCAGCCCAGGUUCAAGGGAGGGAACUACACAAAGGCAUGAGUUCCAGGAGGCAUGGCUCACUGUGGGCUAUUAAAGCAACAGACUGCCACAGUUGGUACCGUUCCAUAUGUGAGAGCCUCCAAACCACCAGCGUUUAGCUAAAGAGUCUCCAUUUACAACCACCACAAACCAUAUUGCUGACAUUCUUAGAAGAAGCCUCUAAAUAACUUUUUUACUUAUCAUAUCUCUUCAUGUCUAAAAGAUAGCUAUUUGGCUGUAGUAAUAUGUUUUGCCACUUUCUCCUUCACAAAUCUUCUCAGCCCCUUUUUCUCUUUUCAUAGACACAGCUACCUACUUUGUUUAGGCAGGUCUCUCAAUCUUAAUGUGAACACACCUUGGUCAAUUACAGUGGAUUUUAUUUACAUCCAGAAAAUAGAACAUAAAGCCCCAAAGUUUGCAAAUGGCUUAUUACUUUUAAACAGUCAACUGAAGCAGAUUCAAGGUUGACCCUACAGUAGUGUUCCUCUCAGAUUCAUGCACGUACCUGAGGGGCCAAGAAAGAGGUGGAGUUUAGUGUUGAUGCUUUGGGAGUCAUGUAUAACCCUGGCAGAAACAGACCUAACUGCUUGCCUUAAUCUCUCUCUUCAGGUAAAAUUUCUGUUUUAUUUAGGGUGGCAAUAUGCCCAGCCUCUCUUCCAGCUAAGCAUGGCCAUAGGACUAAGUUCUGCCUAAUGAAAUAGAGGGGGAAAUAAUGCCUGGGACUUCCAGAAAGGGUACUUAAAGGGAGCUGGCCUAGCUAAGAAGGAACCCUUAGGCCUUAUUUUGGAUUCCUUCUUCCUGUUACCUGUAUUGCAGAUGCAAUGGUUGGAUCUUGAGCAGCCACUUAGGAUCAUGAGGUGACUUUAUGAGUACCUUAGGGUAUAAGCCAUACUUUAGGAUGGUAGAGUGUAAAAAUAGGUGGAUUCUGGGUUCAUGACGACCAUGGAGCUUUAUUCCAACCGUGAACUCUAGAAGUGGACAUAGAGAUCUAGAUCAAGAUGGAGAUAGAGAGGUUCUUAUUUAAGCCAUUGUUUUGAGGGGUUUCCUGUUACAAUUCAUCUUAUGUUCCUGGUCAGAGUUCUUGUCAUGGCUUGGCAGAAAUGAAUCUGACUAGCAUCCAUGAGGACGCAGGUUCAUUCCCUGGGCUCACUCAGUGGGUUAAGGAUGUGGCAUUGCUGUGAGCUGUGGUGUAGGUCACAGACAUGGCUCGGAUCCUACAUUACUGUGGCUGUGGUGUAGGCCAACAACUACAGCUUCAAUUCCACCUCUACCCUGGGAACUUCCAUAUGCCAUGGGUAUGGCCCUAAAAAGCAAAAAAAUAAAAAUAAAAAUAAAAAAACUUACA